GAUCGGUUCGCCGAUAUGACCUUUCCCGUGCUUUUUAGAACAAGAUCGGAUCAGUCAGAUCACGAUCGAACGAAAUACGUCGAGUAUGGCCGAUUUGGCUGCCCUUCGAGCGCAAGCGAGAAGGACAAGCUUAGCCAAAUCCCACUCAGAUAAGGCGAGACCCGCCGUCCACGUUUCUCUUUCUCAUCAAGGAUACGAACCACGCCCGCGUCAUGUAGCGUGCUUAACGAAUGGGCCCGUAGCUCAGGUGGUUAGAGCGCACGCCUGAUAAGCGUGAGGUCGGCAGUUCGAGUCUGCCCGGGCCCACCAUUCGCUGGAGCUCAUGGUGGGCCCGGGCAUCCUCUGGUUUGAUUUGCUCUUCCUCGCGAUCUUCGAUCGCUGCGGGAGAGCGGGCCGGGCCCGGGGUGCUGCGAUCGACUGUUUGCGAGUUCUUGCUGGCUUUGCCGGCUAAUCGAAAGAUGGGGCUGUAGCUCAGCUGGGAGAGCACCUGCUUUGCAAGCAGGGGGUCAGCGGUUCGAUCCCGCUCAGCUCCACCAUUUUUUUGAACUGGGCCGCCGGACGACCGGCGACGACCUUUGGCCUUGCGAAGCUUCGCUUCGUUUGAGUGCCAGAAGCGUGGGUUGGAUAUCCUUGAGAGAAAAUAGGUUUGCAUCGUCUCGACUGAGACUGAUGCCUGUUCUGCUAAAAUUGUGAAGAGAAGAUAUGUCUGGAUCGAACGCAAGUUCGUUGUCCUGAGGCAGAUCGUUGUUCGGAGGCUUGUCCUUCGUCUGACGGUUAUGCUGGAUUGAUGUUGCCUGACCGCGCAUCACCGGACAGAUCUCGAGAAGCUGGUCUUAAGACACGGCCUCGGAAUUGCUCGGCGUAAUUCCAAUGAGGACCGUGUCGAACACGUCGAUGGCAUCUGAUCGGCCCGGUUGUAAAAGGUAACCGGGCUUUUGGGCCGGGCAUUCUUAACGAGUGCUUGGGACUGACUGGUUCGGCGCACUGCAAGGUGUCCGGAUAGUCAGGUUUGGCUGCCCUACGAGGCGACAAGCCGAGUGGGUAAGCUUAGCCAAACCCAAUAAGGAUGAGCAUUGGCAAUGAGAACGAUCAAGUGUCAAAAGGGCAUUUGGGUGAUGCCUUGGCAUGCACAGGCGAUGAAGGACGUGAUACGCUGCGAUAAGCCGUGGGAG
rnacentral:tRNA from 1 species